CUCUCUCCACACAGAUCCGCAAGGUCAAAGAGGGGGAGCUGUUGGGAGACUCGCCACCACUGAAGGUAAAAGUUGGGGACUGGGUGAGGGUCAAGGUCCACAAGAGAAAGUGGCUGGAACCCAGGUGGACUGGGCCGUACGAAGUGAAGGAAGUUACUUCACACUCUGUCCAGGUCAAAGGUAAAUCAGGAGCACCUUGGCACCACCUUACACAUUGCACUCCAGCCCCAACCCCUUCCAGAACUUUGACUGAAACCAGGGCCGAUUUGCGCGCCCUACAUAAAUUCGAUUCCAACCACUGAAACCUUAGUUGGGGAAAAUGGGACAAUGGCUUCCGUUUCCACGACCUAAGGCACCACGCCCAGGGUCGGGGUACAUCCCUCCCCUGGGAGAGGCUGGGGAUAUCAGCUCCCCUGUUUGUUAUUUUUGUGAGUGUACACUACUAGGCUGAUCACCACCGCUAUUGACCCUGGUCAGGCUGAUAGGGGCCUAAUGUUUCCUUUGCUUCAGGUGGAAGACACUGAACCCGAGUAUGCAUUCGAAUAGUUUAGUUUUCACGCCUGCCACGCGGGAGGCCCGGGUUCAGAUCCCAGCCCAUGCACCAUGGGACUAAAAUGUAAGAAGAUAUGUUUUGCCUGGAGAGAUACGGUUGCUAGCGUUUGUUUAAGAUAUAAAUGUAACGUUUUGAUAGCUUGAUUAGUUUAAAUUGAAAGGCUAACUAAUUAGAAAAUAAUAGCGAGAGAAUUUUGAUAUAAUACGUUCUCUGUUGCUGGAAAUGGCAUACAGAGAAAGAGUUGAAUGAUGUUAUUUUUUAUAAGUAUGGCGAUUUACAUGGUACAUAUAAGGACAUAGACAUUUCAUAAGUGUGAAGCCGAAAGAGAGAUACAGUUGGAAUAUUGGUUUUAAUCUUGUGAUAGAGGAAAGGCAGAACGCUGUUUGAAAAGAGGUAAUCGCUGGGCUAUGUUUGGCGGGAAAGAAGCGUUUUGUUUUGUGAUAAAUUCUGCUUAUUGAUUCGUGGUAUUGAUUGUUUAGUAACACCAGUGAAUUGAACAUUGCAAGAAAAAUAUCAAGUCAUUAAGGUGAAUUACAGGUGGAGUUAAUUUUAUAAUUAACUGGGAAGGUGCACAUUAAACACAGUUGUGUAUAAUGGCAGGGUAUUCCUAGCAAACAGAAUGGGCUGGUUUGCAGACAAACUGAAAGGGUUUUAGGGUUUUAAGCAAUCUUGGGUCAAAUUGGUUAAAUAGUACGUUAAAAUAUGGGGUUUCAUAGAUUGAAGUACAGUAUUGUAUCCAAGGGUAGCGCAUGUUCAAUUAAGUUUAAAACUAAUGAUUGGGGGGAAUACAAUGGAAGUAUAAGCAUUUUUAGGUUUUGUUUGUAGGUAACUUUUGGGUUUCUGAAUCGGUGAAGUAUGAGGAAAUGCUGACCAAAUGGUUAUUUUAUGGAAUAUGGAGCGCUUAGCUCUUUGGGGAAAAAUUCCUAGGGACAUGAUAUAUUAAAGGGGUAGACACACAUGACAUUUUAAAGUUUUAUUUUCUGAGUUUUAAUUAAACACGUGAAAUUCUUUUGAUAGGGAAUGUUCUGGGAACUUGAGAUACGAAAUCUAGAUAAGGUUAUUAGCUUUCAUUUGUCUAAUGUAGUAAGAAAGAAAAAACGGUUCUGAAAAGGGGUUAUGACUUUUUUGACCCCACUGGUGACUUUUCCUUUUGUGGUCUGAUCAGCCGCAAUGAAAAGCCAUUGGAUGGUGAAUUUAAGGUCAUUUGGGAUACUAACUUUAAGGAAACUAGGAGAACUGAUAAUUAUGAUGGAGUUAAAGUUCUUAGACACAAUUGAUAAUUUGAACCAAUGAGAAGACAAAAUGACGAAAAGGGUACAAUAAUUUUUCUUUGGGGAGUAGUUCAGAUUAGUCAUUUUGAUCUGAUUAUGUUACGUGAAUAUCGUUUGAUAAGUAGGGGUACUUUUUACAUUAUCUAGAUAAGUUUAUUUUCCCUUAGGAAGUCAGCUGUGGUUGUAUUUAGUGGAAGAGAUUUAACACAACAAGACUGUGGAAUUAAUAUAAUAGUAAUAUUAUAUUUUGUUGAUAAAACAGGUUAAUAAUGGUAGACUUAAGCCAACAGGACAGGAAUAUAUGACAUCUGUAGGGAAUCCAGGAUUAUUGAGGGUAUCGAGAUAAAUGUAAAUAGCUAUGUAAUAAGACCAUGAGACAUUUAGUACUCCCCUGCACUGCUGAGACCUUGAUGGGUUGGAAGAAGAAGGAGGAGAGCAUAAACAAGGAAGAGAAGAUAAAAGUAACAUAGAAGAAUUAGAUAACGGUUAGUGAGUGGAGACCAGCAUAGUUAAAUUAUAAACAGGUGAGGACAGAAAUAACACUGGGAGAGACAGAAAAGACAUAAGAAUAGAAGAUAGCAGGAUAAUUUAGUUAGGUUCAUUUAGUUAGGAUAUUAAUACAUGGAGAGACUAUCGGCUCCAUAGGCAUGUAUUAUAGUUUUGAUUUUAAGUUAUGUUUGGUAAAAUUCGCUAGGAAAAGAUAUGAUAAUUUAGUUGAAAGAAGUUGUUCAAUCUUAAAGAAGAUAGGACACUUGAUAGAGAAAUGCACAGGGUACCUAAGGAUGAAUGCCCCAGGGAGAAUUGGACAUGUGGUAUAUGAAAGGGGGCAAUCCUACAAGAGAAGGGCUGACAUAAGGAUAAUUUACUAACCUUACAAAAGACAUUGUUAAGAAAUGCAGCAAAAUUGAUACAUGGUUUGAGCCAUGUAUAAAAAGGGGGAGUAAGGGGGAGUAUAGUAGAGCAGGCGAUAGAACAGGAUAGGAUGCUACUAGAACAAAAACAUUUUUUGUAGAAUGUCCGUUCCAACAUUUGGAAAUGGACUUAUUGAACUAUUCCGAAUUGAGGGGAAUAAGGGGUGUUUAACAAUAACAGAUAAGUAUAGCAAAUGGGUAGAAGUGUUCCCAACUUACUUGGUGGACAUGAUUAUGGUAGCUAGAAUAUAGGACAAGAUAUAAUCCCUAGUGUUGAUACUGGGAUCUAUCUCUUUAAAUGAUGGAUGACAGUUUAGCUAAUCAGGUAGAGCCUAUAGAAUGCCAGAGUUAGGGAGAAUAGAGAUACCAGAACAGGUAGACAUAGAAGUUAAAGAUAUACUAGCAGAGCACAUGAGAAGACUGUUUGUUAACCAAACCCGUAUGUCCAAGAUUUUGUGUUCAACAGGUGAAUUACAGGAGAAGGUGAUUCACUCAAUCCAACCAGGAGACUGGGUGUGGAUCCAGUCCCUGAGGAGAAAAGACUGGAAGCAGCCCCGUGGGGAAGGCCCAUACCAGGUGCUGUUAAACCAUUGCCUUUGCCAUUAGAAAAGCUAAGAGAGUCACUUGGGUCCACGUUACCCACUGCAAGGAGGUAUUUACACAUAUGACCACUGCUGAUCACACACAGAGUUAGGAGAAGAACCGAUACCAACAGGGUCCGGGGGUUACCUCCUUAACGAAGAUUCCCUAUCCCGACCGUUCAUCACUGUGUGUGCUCCUAGAGGUGUGAGUAUGGGGUGGUACCAAGCAGAGAGACUAAGGGCAGGAGAGGGUUGACGGUUUUUGGGAAGAGUAGAAACUCUGAGCUGCAUCAUAGUCUAAUCUUUCUGAUAUAUUCAGAUCCACCACCUACUGGUACUAAACAUAGGUUACCGUUGUCAUGGAGAAGAAGUAAAAGAUAAACUAUAUAAUACACUGAUGAGUGACGUACAGAAUAAGGAAUCAAAGAAGAUCAAGAUGUAGAAUUUAAGGUAAACAUUAAACAAUUUCCUGGGGAAGCAGACAACUGUACAGGAAUAUGGGUUGGCCAGAUUGAAGUACUCAGCCAACCCACCUCGGUUCACCUAAAUUCCGGAGUGAAUACCAGUGUUAUAGAUACAAAAAUGGCACCGAGAAUUAAGAUGAUUUUAAUGGCUGGAAAGGUAAUUGUUAAUAUGACUGACUUAGGUUUGAAAGCACAGGAGAAAAUGUGUAACCUCAUAGCACCUAUAACUGAUGAAGGGUGGGCUAGUACCAGCAAAGGACGCAGACGACAGAAAUGACCACAAAGGGUGGUUAGGAAUUGCGCCCUGGGGUUAUUGGUCUAACCAGUUCGAGUUAGUCAUCAGAGGCCAGUUAUAGGAGGCUAAAGUAGGCACAGGAGGAGUUUUGACCAGGAUGGGAGUAGCUUUACAAGAUGGAUGCUAUUGGCAUCCUCAGGGAAGUUCCAGAUGAAUACAAAGCUAUGAAUCAAAUAUGUGAAGGCUUUAACACUACAUUAUUUUGGUAGUUGACAAUAAAUAAUAAUGUGGAUUGAAUUAAUGACAUCUUUUAAUCAACAGAGAUUCAUGAAUGAAACAGGGGAUGCAGUAAAGAGGUUCUCUGACCAAUUAUCCGCCACCUCCCUCAUGACCUGGUAAAAUAGACUGACUCUCGAUAGGUUACGGGCAAAGAGGAUGGUGUAGGUAGAAUGAUUAGGUUCAUUGCUGUACGUACAUUUUUGAUAACACAGAUCAUGUUUGGGAAAUGGAAAAGUGUUGCAAGAACUGUAUUAUGGGCUGCUUUCACCUGUAUGAGUGUGAUUGGGUUGUGUGGUUGUUGUUUGGUCCCGUGUGCAAGAGGUUUAAUCACCAGAACUCUAGAGAGAUGAUAACGGAGCAGAUGGUGAGCUACGGACCGAGUCAAAGUUCAGAUCAAUGAGAUGACAAGUACCUACCGCCGAGCAAGAUUGUUCUUUUUUGUCACGUCUUGCAGACGUGAAGAGGGGGAUUUGUAAUAAAGAUAAUCUAACGUUUUACCUAAUGAUAUAUAAGGAGGGCAUUUGCACAACAUGUUUCACAACAGCACACAACAAAAUUCCAGAGACAUAUUGAGCAACCAACUGAUACCAAUCACGACCACACCUAGAGACAGAUGGCUGACUUAAGCCCUAGCCACACGAACUGACCACUGGUGUAAAGAACAACAUUCCAUGAAUAUCGCAAAGCACCCAGACACGAAUUACCAGAAAUACACACACACACACACUUAGGUGUGUUGGACUCCGAGGACAAAGGACACUGCCAAGGGCCAAUGGGAAGUCGACACCACCUGGAGAGUGGACCGUCCCUCCACUCAUCGACCAGUCAGGAGAGCGGACCUACUAGACUCAACGUCAACACACUGUUAUUUCAUUGUAUAAAUUGGAUGUACACUAUGUUUCGGGGCUCUCUCUUCUGCUAGUUCCCUAAGAGCUAAACGAAGGAGUCCGUGCACGCUUUGCCAAACAUCUUUGUCUCAUAAUAAACUGCCUUACUAUAAACUGAAUCACCCGGUCCAGCGUCUUGACUUGUCUCCUUCUCAAAUAACUAAUCAUCAACAAAA
rnacentral:lncRNA from 1 species